GCAUACUCACUUUUACUUACCUUAAACUUAACAAGUUCGAGGUACGCUUUUGGAAGUCGUUUUAGAUACUUUUAGGCAAGGUCCCGAGCUUUGUUGAUUAUACGUUGACUAUUUGGAAGAUAUGUUGAAGUUGAGAAUCACACAGUGAGUUGGUACAGUAUAUAUACGAAUUGUGGGGUAGUGCUUACACUCAAUAUAAGGUUGUAGCAUUACGCAAUCGAUCUCAACGGGCAUUAAAGAUCGAACGCCGAUUUGUCAAGAACGACGACUGGCUAAAAUAGCAAACCGCAGGACAGUGCAA